AGGGGAGGGUACGUAAACCUUUUUCUGCGGCUGAUACACAACUAAACACAACAAAGCAAAGCAGUUCGCUAUUCUCUUUAACUGGAAAGCAGAAGGCCUGCUCCUGAGAGCACGUGUCAUCCCCAAUGAUGCAGCAUGAGAGCGCCGCCACACUAGAGGAUGAAGGGGAGAGGGGAUGAAAUGAAAGAGGGAAGACAGAACAUGAUGGGAGGCAAUAUUGGAUCUGUGUUUGUCUGCUGGAUCUGCAACAAGUGACCUACUUUAGAAUAGCACUGAUUCACUGACGAGACACAGUAAUAUCAGACCAGAUGGACCGAUUGCCAAAAUGGAGAGCCUCUUCUUCGCUGAACAAAAAUAAAAACGCAACAUGUAAAGUGUUGGUCCCAUGUUUCAUGAGCUGAAA